GGGCUGUGUAGCUGACCUUCUGGGCGGUGGGAUUCAUCCCGUCGCUUGCCACCAAUUGUUAAGACACCCCUGGCACAAAGGAGUGAAACCGCCGUUUAGUAAAGCUUCCCCUUUCCCAAUAACGCAAACUCCAUUCGUAUAGACUCCAACCGUAUGAACUGCAAUCAGGGGAAGGCGCCAAUCUCCCAAACGGGACCCGUACGGAUGCUC